rnacentral:rRNA from 1 species
UACGUAGGGGGCAAGCGUUGUCCGGAUUUAUUGGGCGUAAAGAGCGUGUAGGCGGCCCAUGUAGGUCCGUUGUGAAAACUCGAGGCUCAACCUCGAGACGCCGAUGGAAACCAUGUGGCUAGAGUCCGGAAGAGGAGAGUGGAAUUCCUGGUGUAGCGGUGAAAUGCGCAGAUAUCAGGAAGAACACCCGUGGCUUAAGGCGGCUCUCUAGUACGGUACUGACGCUGAGACGCGAAAGCGUGGGAGCGAACAGG